rnacentral:rRNA from 1 species
AGGUGGAGCAUUGUUGGUUUAAUUCGAAGAUACACGAAGAACCUUACCUGGCCUUGACAUGGUAGGAACCUUAAGAGAGUUAGGGGUGCUAGCUUGCUAGAACCUACACACAGGUGCUGCACGGCUGUCGUCAGCUCGUGUCGUGAGAUGUUGGGUUAAGUCCCGCAACGAGCGCAACCCUCGUCCUUAGUUGCUAACAGUUCGGCUGAGCACUCUAGGGAGACUGCCUUCGCAAGGAGGAGGAAGGUGAGGACGACGUCAAGUCAUCAUGGCCCUUACGGCCAGGGCUACACACGUGCUACAAUGGGGCGUACAGAGAGCUGCGAUACCGCGAGGUGGAGCCAAUCUCUUAAAGCGUCUCUCAGUUCGGAUUGUUCUCUGCAACUCGAGAACAUGAAGCUGGAAUCACUAGUAAUCGCAGAUCAGCUAUGCUGCGGUGAAUACGUUCCCGGGUCUU